rnacentral:sRNA from 1 species
GGAUCUUUUCAAUUUCUCCAGGUCACGAAUAAAACAGUAGUGGUAAAAUGAAAUCUAAUGUUUUAACAGUAUAAAUCAGUUUUUAAAACACAAAACAAACAAAAUCCAAGUUGAACGCACGUUUUUCUGAGCCGUACAUCUGUGUAUAUUUUCAUUUUAUUCGUUCCAUGUACUAGACAAUAGAUCUAGGGUUCGCAAAUCUCGGCAAUAUUUCCGAAAAGCUACAGUUUAGUAGCUCAGUAGAAUACUACAGUCAUCUAUGAAGCACAUUCUAGCAUUGCGUUGAGUGAUGACACUAUCUAACCAGUGUGUAUUUCAAUUGCGAUUCGCAACAAGAUCAUAGUUCCGAUUGACGCAUUUAUAUAGACCCACCCAUUUAAAAAAGCAUGUUGAGAACAUGAUGCUAACACACGGAAACAAAUGCUGAAGAAAGCUCAUAAUAAAGUUGUACUCGCGAGUUAAAAAUUACAGAGUUUAUUUGAGAACAAACGGGGCGAUGUUUACAUACAUGUAACAGUU